CCCCACCCCCAUAUAUUGUUUAAAGUAACAAAAACUGUUUGGGUGUGAUAGAGGGAAAAACAGAGAAUUAGCCUGCAAACACUGUCAGCUGCAGCAUAUAGAUCUCUGGAAAUCUGGUUCGUAUUGGGUACAGAGAGAAGAGCAGAUAAUAGGUUUUAUUGCAAAAAGAGAGGCACCACAAGUCAGAGAUAGGAAAAACGCAGUCUAAAUUCAAAGCUCUUCCAAUGAGUCACUUUAAGAUAAAGCCACUUUGGCAGAUGCUGUGGGGAGGCAAUAGGGGAAAGGUGUGUCCUUUUACUGUGCAAAAGCAAUUGAAGAUGAACGUCAGGAUAGGAACAGAUACAGGUUAACAAAUCACAAUUAAUAUUUAAUAUAGUUACUGUUUCAUGAUCAUGUUUCUUUGGUGUUGGGCUGAUAUGAAAGGACUGAUGUAUGACAAAGAAAUGCUUACGAUAAGGUAUAACCACAGUAUGAAUCUGAGCUUUCAUCAAGGGAAUGGAGGGGGGAUCCAGAUCUUUGCAUCAUUGGCAGGAAGAAAGAAUGUGAUUUUCUAAGAGAUAGAUUAUAGGGAACAACUAGGAAAAAAAUGAUUUGUGUCUAAUCAACAGCAUGAUUGAUUUUUUUUGUUGACAGAAAGGAAAAUAAUCAAGAAUGAUAUGGUUUGGGGUGAAAGACAAAGACCUUAGUGUUGGAAUACAUUUAGUUUGAUGAUGGAAUGGCAGAAAUAUCAGAGAGGUGACCCUGUGGCAUUGCAUGGUGGGAGAAGGUUCAUGAGCAGAGAGAGAUAACUGAGGAAUAACCAGAAGUCAUACAUAUUACAUCAACUAGGGAUGUUUUGCCAGGAAUGAACAGCAUGGUACCAAGGCACAGAUCCUAAGAAUUCCCCAGGAACCCAGUAUAGAGCAGGAGAGCCUAUUACAUUUCAUGAGAUAUGAGAUUGAGGCAAUCAUCACAUGCUGUUAUAAUGCUUUUAUUAACUUUUUAUGUACUUGUCCAAAAUCAGGGAACUGAAAAAAAUAGUCCAGAUAUUUCCUCUUCGUAUGAACAGAAAGAAAAAAAAGACAAAGCCUAUAAAUAGUGUUGGGAUAUUUCAAAAUUUUUGCUAUACAACAUAAAGAACCCAAUACCAUUCAAACCGUCAGUGGAAAGUGUAAAGAUAAUAACUGAAUAGCACAGAAAUUCAUUGAAUUAUUUAAAACUAAUUGAAUUAUUCAAAACUCAGGUGGCUUAAUUGUAGUUGGAUUUGUUUUUUUCUUUAACUUCUUGAGUAGUUAACCUUUUUUUAAACUUCUAAAAUUAUUUUCAGCUCCAUUAACAUAAAAACUACUUUGUUCUUCUGUACUUCCUUCUAUUAGGGCACCUUUCACAUUUUGCCUGAGAAUAGAGACAGUUCCAAUAAAUAUGUGGAGUCUAUAUUUUCA
rnacentral:lncRNA from 1 species